CAGCCGCCGCGGUAAGACAGAGGAUGCAAGCGCUAUCCGGAAUGAUUGGGUGUAAAGUGUCUAUAGGUGGCUUUUCAAGUCCGCUGUCAAAUCCUAGGGCUCAACCCUGGACAGGCGAUGGAAACUACCAAGCUGAUUAUGGUAGGGGUAGAUGGAAUUUCUAGUGGAGCAGUGAAAUGCGUUGAGAUCGGAAAGAACACCAACAGCAAAAGCACUCUACUAGGGCGACACUGACACUGAGAGAUGAAAGAUAGGGGAGCAAAUGGGAUUAGAUACCCCCGUAGUCCCUGUCUCUUAUACA
rnacentral:rRNA from 1 species